rnacentral:rRNA from 1 species
AUGCAUCCUCCCCAUGAUCCUGGGAUGGAGGGAGUCGUGGUGGCAGGGGACAGAUGCGUGAUGAGGAGGAGGCCGUGGUCAAUUGGUCAUGGUGGCGUGACGGAGGUCGUGGCUCGCCCCCCGCCGCCUCUCUCGCGGGCCCAUUUUCCCUGCCCCCUUCCCGGCGUCCUUACCUCUGCCAUGGCCUCCACCCUCCCUCUCCAUCGUCCUUCCCGAGCUCUUCCUCUUCGGGGGUCGCCGCCAUCCGAUGCCGCGCGCCAUGAUUCUAGAUCGGCCGUAGGUCGAGAAGGAGCGGUUGCUACAGUGAGGGCAGCAGGGUCCCCACCCCGGCGGCUGUGUGCAGAGGGGGAGAGGUCAAGGACGGUUGCCAGUUCAUGGAGGAGAGAUGCGACACAGGCCUUGCAGCAGAGGAUGAAGAUGGAGCUGGCAGCAGGGAUCAUGGGAGCAACGGGGGUGGCUGGCCUCCCGAAGCUAGACGAGAAAGGGGGCAGCAGUGCAGGGACGGAAGAGGGUGUCCAUGUGCUAUCCAUUUCUGCUCAUCUUCAGCUUGCAGAUUUUUAUCUAAAAGCAGAGCUACCUACUAAUGGCUCACAAGAUAGAAAACUAAGCCUGAUUUCUCAGGAAUCUUCUGCUGUGGCGCUUAUGCGUCUAAGAUAUUAA